UUGACGGGGACCCGCACAAGCGGUGGAUGAUGUGGAUUAAUUCGAUGCAACGCGAAGAACCUUACCUACCCUUGACAUGUCCGGAACUUGCCAGAGAUGGCUUGGUGCCCGAAAGGGAAUCGGAACACAGGUGCUGCAUGGCUGUCGUCAGCUCGUGUCGUGAGAUGUUGGGUUAAGUCCCGCAACGAGCGCAACCCUUGUCAUUAGUUGCCAUCAUUUGGUUGGGCACUCUAAUGAGACUGCCGGUGACAAACCGGAGGAAGGUGGGGAUGACGUCAAGUCCUCAUGGCCCUUAUGGGUAGGGCUUCACACGUCAUACAAUGGUCGGUACAGAGGGUUGCCAACCCGCGAGGGGGAGCUAAUCCCACAAAGCCGAUCGUAGUCCGGAUCGCAGUCUGCAACUCGACUGCGUGAAGUCGGAAUCGCUAGUAAUCGUGGAUCAGCAUGUCACGGUGAAUACGUUCCCGGGUCUU
rnacentral:rRNA from 1 species